rnacentral:rRNA from 1 species
GACGAACGCUGGCGGCGUGCUUAACACAUGCAAGUCGAACGGUAAGGCCCUUCGGGGUACACGAGUGGCGAACGGGUGAGUAACACGUGGGUGAUCUGCCCUGCACUUCGGGAUAAGCCUGGGAAACUGGGUCUAAUACCGGAUAGGACCACUGCCUGCAUGGGUGGUGGUGGAAAGCUUUUGCGGUGUGGGAUGGGCCCGCGGCCUAUCAGCUUGUUGGUGGGGUGAUGGCCUACCAAGGCGACGACGGGUAGCCGGCCUGAGAGGGUGACCGGCCACGCUGGGACUGAGAUACGGCCCAGACUCCUACGGGAGGCAGCAGUGGGGAAUAUUGCACAAUGGGCGCAAGCCUGAUGCAGCGACGCCGCGUGAGGGAUGACGGCCUUCGGGUUGUAAACCUCUUUCAGCACCGACGAAGCGCAAGUGACGGUAGGUACAGAAGAAGGACCGGCCAACUACGUGCCAGCAGCCGCCGUAA